AGAUUUCCUGGAGGAGCUUUCCAGAGGCAAAGCUACCCAUUAGAUCCAGGCUGGGGCCCUGAUCCAGGCUGGGUUAUGUCCCCAAAUAGAUAUGCAAACAUUCUGAUCCCCAACACCUCAGGAUAUGACUGUAUUUAGAACAAGGCCACUUAGCACAGAAUAGUUACAUUAAAAACGAGGCCAGACCCAUGGCAGAGUGGUCCCUCAUCACCGUAGAAAGAGGGAACUCUCAAGACAGAUGUGCGAGUCGGAAAAAUGUAACAUCAAGUUGAGAGUUUAGAGUUCAGCUUCCACUAAUCAAGAAGUUGGAAAACCUAGAGAACAGACCCCCCCCCCCAACUGCCUCCCAAGAGAGCAUGGCCCUACCAUGACUUUGCUUGGACUUGGAUUUGUAGCCUUGAUAUGUGCAGAGGAAAUACUUUUUUUUUCUUUAAGAUGCCUGGCCUGAGCCACAUUGUUACAGCGGCCCUAGGAGCUAUCUGAUUUCAAAUCAGAACGAGAAGUAACUCUUACUGUGAAAUUCAGCCCCUGUUAUAUUUGAAUAGACAUCCAAUGAUAAAUGACAUGUGUGUGUUCAUACAUGUAUAUGUGUGAAGACUAGACGCCAACCCCAGUUCUCAUUCCUCUAGCACUGCCCGCUUUGUUUUAUGGGACAUAGGGUCUCUCAUUGGCCUGGAGUUCAUGAAGUAGGGGAGGCUGGGUGGUCAGUGCAACCCGGUCUUCAACUCCCUAGUCCUGGGGCUCCCCUCAUACACCACAAUCAACAGCUUUGUCGCAUGAGUUCUAGAGACUGCAGUUGGGUCCUCUUGCUUGUACAACAAGCGUUUUGCUGGCUGAGCCUGAUGACCUAUCUCUACAGUCUCUACAAAUGCAAUCAGAGAGUGUUUUUAUAAAGGAGUAAGAGACUUGUGAAUGCAGAAAUACCCCUCCCAGUGCCCUCCCAAUCCAUGAUGCAUUCCUGAAGCACUGAAUUAAUUUAGAAAAGACAGGAGGUCUUGGAACCUGUGGUUAAGAAGGAAAUCAGCCCAGGGUUCUAAAGAAUAGCAAAGAGACCGUCCUCUGGCCUGGCUGGUCCUCGUCCCUCCUAUUAACGGAGCUCUGCAUUUGCUUUCUGUAAAGGAGCCAGAACAGCUCUAUAUGAACUUUACAGAUGCUCUAAUCUUUUUUUAAAGUUAUAUAUUUUAAAUUAUUUCAUUGGGAGAGUUGGUGGUGAGUAUCACAGAGUAUAUGUGGUGGUCUGAGGACAACUUGCAGGGGUCAGUUUUCUCCUUCCACCCUGGUGGUUCAGUAGAUUGAACUCAGGUCGUCAGGCUUAGCAGCAAGUGCCUUUAACCUGCUGAGCCAUCUAGCCAGCCCUGAUGCUCUGAUCUUGCUGAAGUGCAGGGUCCAUCAUGAUCUCUGUUUCUCCCUGGAGAAACUGCCUGCUUCCCUGAAAUGAAAAGGUAGAGGUUAAAACUAGGUCUGUGUUCCCUCACCCGGCUCCCAGUAGGACUUUCUCCUCAGCCGUCGCUCCACAUCACUUUCAAAGGCUGUAUGACUUAUUUACGACCCAAUCCUGUAGAAAUAAUAUGCACUCCAGUGGCACUUGUAACCAUUAUACUAUUACUCAGUGAAAACCCAUCAAAAUGGACCCGCUCCAGUCCUCACAGAAGAUAGCAGAUUCACUAAUUAGGACUUGACCUUGUGUUGUGCUAAAUCAGCUAGCCCAAGCCCCGGGAGCCCCUUGCCCCGUCUAGUAGUCAGAACAAGCUGACAAGCCAAACUAAACAGGAGGUCACGGUCAAAUUCACCAAUGCCUAAAUCACUAGCAAGAGCCAGAUCCAGUGGAGGGCUUGUUAUAAACAAAUCCCACACUUCCGGAACCAGUAGGUGGAGGAGGGGCAUUCCCACCCCUGCUGGACCAGGGCCUGUCCUCUGAGCAUCUUGCUCUGGAUUUUUGUCUCUAAAUUGGUCUUCUUUGCUGGUGUUGGAAAGACAACACUGUCCUGCGGUUUUUAACAGAUGGUAAACAGAGGAGGUACCCCAGAAGUUACAGAGCCAGAGAAGACACCGUCACCAUCUCCAAAGGCCUCUUCAAUCUGUUUACAAGAACAUUCGAGAGUAAGGACAACAGAGUUGACAGGGGUAUCCAAUUUUUGUAUCACUCACCAAACACAUUCCCCUACAAACCGAGUAUGACGCAAAGCUCUGGGGUAACGGCCCUGUAAGAGUUUAGGUUUCAACGUACACUGACAUGAGACACUUCAGAAAGGCUGCAGAGAUGGGGUCCAAGAUGACCUCAAAGGAGGAGGGGCAACUAAUCAAAGUGUUGCAGGUUUCUGCCACCUGCCUUGACUCCUCACUACUGUACAUCUUCAGGCGUGAAUGCCUGCCCUGAGCAAGGGGGAAGAGUGCCAAGAUGGUUUACCCAGUAGAGCUGAUACAGGGAUGAAAAUGCGUCCUCAAAUCACUAUAUUACAUCAUAGACAGGGUCC
rnacentral:lncRNA from 1 species